GACGAACGCUGGCGGCGUGCCUAAUACAUGCAAGUAGAACGCUGAAGAGAGGAGCUUGCUCUUCUUGGAUGAGUUGCGAACGGGUGAGUAACGCGUAGGUAACCUGCCUUGUAGCGGGGGAUAACUAUUGGAAACGAUAGCUGAUACCGCAUAACAAUGGAUGACACAUGUCAUUUAUUUGAAAGGGGCAAUUGCUCCACUACAAGAUGGACCUGCGUUGUAUUAGCUAGUAGGUGAGGUAAUGGCUCACCUAGGCGACGAUACAUAGCCGACCUGAGAGGGUGAUCGGCCACACUGGGACUGAGACACGGCCCAGACUCCUACGGGAGGCAGCAGUAGGGAAUCUUCGGCAAUGGGGGCAACCCUGACCGAGCAACGCCGCGUGAGUGAAGAAGGUUUUCGGAUCGUAAAGCUCUGUUGUAAGUCAAGAACGGGUGUGAGAGUGGAAAGUUCACACUGUGACGGUAGCUUACCAGAAAGGGACGGCUAACUACGUG
rnacentral:rRNA from 1 species